CCUACGGGAGGCAGCAGUGGGGAAUCUUGCGCAAUGGGCGAAAGCCUGACGCAGCCAUACCGCGUGGAUGAUGAAGGUCUUAGGAUUGUAAAAUCCUUUCACCGGUGAAGAUAAUGACUGUAGCCGGAGAAGAAGCCCCGGCUAACUUCGUGCCAGCAGCCGCGGUAAUACGAAGGGGGCUAGCGUUGCUCGGAAUUACUGGGCGUAAAGGGAGCGUAGGCGGACAUUUAAGUCAGAGGUGAAAUCCCGGAGCUUAACUUCGGAACUGCCUUUGAUACUGGGUGUCUUGAGUGUGAGAGAGGUAUGUGGAACUCCGAGUGUAGAGGUGAAAUUCGUAGAUAUUCGGAAGAACACCAGUGGCGAAGGCGACAUACUGGCUCAUUACUGACGCUGAGGCUCGAAAGCGUGGGGAGCAAACAGGAUUAGAUACCCUGGUAGUCCACGCCGUAAACGAUGAUUGCUAGUUGUCGGGAAGCUUGCUUCUCGGUGACGCAGCUAACGCAUUAAGCAAUCCGCCUGGGGAGUACGGUCGCAAGAUUAAAACUCAAAGGAAUUGACGG
rnacentral:rRNA from 1 species